GUGCUGUGAGGCAUGCUGGAGGUAUCAGAAGUGCGAAUGCUGACAUAAGUAACGAUAAAGCGGGUGAAAAGCCCCCUCGCCGAAAGCGCAAGGUUUCCUACGCAACGUUCAUCGGCGUAGGGUGAGUCGGCCCCUAAGGCGAGGCAGAGAUGCGUAGCUGAUGGGAAACAGGUCAAUAUUCCUGUACCGAUCAAUAGUGCGAUGUGGGGACGGAGAAGGUUAGCUCAGCCAACUGUUGGAUAUGUUGGUUCAAGCGUGUAGUCGUGCUCUUUAGGCAAAUCCGGAGAGCUUAGAUGAGGCGUGAUAACGAGUCUGCUUGCAGACGAAGUGAGUGAUACCCUGCUUCCAAGAAAAGCCACUAAGCUUCAGCUAUUGACGACCGUACCGCAAACCGACACUGGUGCGCGAGAUGAGUAUUCUAAGGCGCUUGAGAGAACUCUGGAGAAGGAACUCGGCAAAUUGACACCGUAACUUCGGAAGAAGGUGUGCCUUUAGUAGGUGAACCUGUACAAGGGGAGCCCAAUGAGGCCGCAGAGAAUCGGUGGCUGCAACUUGUUUAAUUAAAAACACAGCACUCUGACAAAGACGAAAGUCGACGUAUAGGGUGUGACUCCUGCCCGGUGCUGGAAGAUUAAAUGAUGGGGUGCAAGCUCUUGACUGAAGUCCCRGUAAACGGCGGCCGUAACUAUAACGGUCCUAAGGUAGCGAAAUUCCUUGUCGGGUAAGUUCCGACCUGCACGAAUGGMGUAAYGAUGGCCACACUGUCUCCUCCMGAGACUCAGCGAAGUUGAARUGUUUGUGAUGAUGCAAUCUCCCCGCGGCUAGACGGAAAGACCCCAUGAACCUUUACUGUAGCUUUGCAUUGGACUUUGAACCGAUCUGUGUAGGAUAGGUGGGAGGCUUUGAAACCGGGACGCUAGUUUCGGUGGAGCCGUCCUUGAAAUACCACCCUGGUUUGUUUGAGGUUCUAACCUUGGCCCGUGAAUCCGGGUCGGGGACAGUGCAUGGUAGGCAGUUUGACUGGGGCGGUCUCCUCCCAAAGUGUAACGGAGGAGUUCGAAGGUACGCUUGGUACGGUCGGACAUCGUACCUAAAGUGCAAUGGCAAAAGCGUGCUUAACUGCGAGACCGACAAGUCGAGCAGGUGCGAAAGCAGGACAUAGUGAUCCGGUGGUUCUGAAUGGAAGGGCCAUCGCUCAACGGAUAAAAGGUACUCCGGGGAUAACAGGCUGAUACCGCCCAAGAGUUCAUAUCGACGGCGGUGUUUGGCACCUCGAUGUCGGCUCAUCACAUCCUGGGGCUGAAGUAGGUCCCAAGGGUAUGGCUGUUCGCCAUUUAAAGUGGUACGCGAGCUGGGUUUAGAACGUCGUGAGACAGUUCGGUCUCUAUCUAUCGUGGGCGUAUGAAAUUUGCGUGGCUCUGACACUAGUACGAGAGGACCGUGUUGGACUGACCUCUGGUUUACCGGUUGUGCCGCCAGGUGCAUCGCCGGGUAUCUAAGUCGGGAUUGGAUAAGUGCU
rnacentral:rRNA from 1 species